CUACGGGUGGCAGCAGUGAGGAAUAUUGCACAAUGGGGGGAACCCUGAUGCAGCAACGCCGCGUGGAGGAUGACGCAUUUCGGUGUGUAAACUCCUUUUAUAUGUCAAGAAAAUGACGGUAGCAUAUGAAUAAGCACCGGCUAACUCCGUGCCAGCAGCCGCGGUAAUACGGAGGGUGCAAGCGUUACUCGGAAUCACUGGGCGUAAGGGACGCGUAGGCGGGUUGGAAAGUCAGGUGUGAAAUCCUACAGCUUAACUGUAGAACUGCACUUGAAACUUCUAAUCUAGAGUAUGGGAGGGGGAGAUGGAAUUAGUGGUGUAGGGGUAAUAUCCGUAGAUAUCACUAGGAAUACCUAAAGCGAAGGCGAUCUCCUGGAACAUUACUGACGCUAAGGCGUGAAAGCGUGGGGAGCAAACAGGAUUAGAUACCCGUGUAGUC
rnacentral:rRNA from 1 species